CUCAGCCCGCCUGCACCCAGGUGAAAUAUACAGCUUUAUUGCUCACACAAAGCCUGUUUGGUGGUCUCUUCACACGGACGUACGUGACACUGACUUUAAUCAUUUAUAAGGGCCGCUCAGCACACGUUAAGAUCCAAUUGGCACUAAUUGGACCAAGCUGGCAGUGCCCAGGGCAGCCUGAGUCCUGUCACCAUGGAUUUGACUCACCAAGCAAAGCAGUGGCCGUGGGUGUCUACGGAGCCCACCAUUAGUGUCAUUUUGGGAAGCUCAAGUGAACAUGGAUGGUGCUUUGUGAGUCAACAUCACUGUCCGGCCAAAGCUUGCAGCCAGAGACCUAGAGCUUAUAAGUGACUUACCCACAAACAGUCUUACACCAAGGCCAGGGCUGGAGCCUGGGCCUCCCAGGUGUCAGCUCAGAGGUUGCUCUACCGGCCCCUUCAUCUGCUGAUGGCCCCAGGAAGUCUCCUCUAGAAGAGGAAGGAGGUUCUAGCUCUUCCCUUCCUCCCAGGGUACAAGACCUCCACCCUGAUCAUCAAACCCCACCCAGGGAGAGAAUCUCAACCCAAUUCCAGAAUACUGAGCUCCAAAAUGGACUCUUGACCACAAGACUGAAACACAAUCACAAAUCCUGGACCCUGAAACGGAAACCUGCCCUCCAGGAAUGGAACCCUCAUCCUCAACCUGGAACCCAUACUCCCAAAUGGGAGCCUCAAGAUCAGCCCAAAAUCUUGCCUGCAGAAAUAGCACCUUCACCCCAAAAUACCACCUCAUGCCUCAGGAACUGAGAACCUUAGCACCAGACAGAAAACCUCCACUUUCAGAAAAAGUCCUGAAUCUUGGGGAGGGAGCUCUCUCUUCAAAAGCCGAUCUGGCCUCUUCUUAUACAGAAAUGAGCCGCACAAUGACAUUUCGUUCAAUGACAGAUCACAUAUAAGACAGUGAUCCCAUAAGAUUAUGACGGAGCUGAAAAAUUCCUAUCACCCAGUGAUGUCGUAGCCAUGAUAACAUCAUCGUGCAAUGCAUUAUGUUACCUUUUCUAUGGUUAGGUGCAUAAAUACUUACCCUUGUG
rnacentral:lncRNA from 1 species